GAUGAACGCUGGCGGCGUGCUUAACACAUGCAAGUCGAACGGAAAGGCCAGGCGUUUGCGGGGUGCUCGAGUGGGGAACGGGUGAGUAACACGUGAGUAAAAUGUCCCUGACAGUGGGAUAAAUUCAGGAAACUGGGGCGAAUACAGGAGAGGAGCUAUUGCAGCACGGGGGGGGUUGGUGAAAGUCGGCGGUGGGGGAUGUAAUCGCGGCGUAUUCGCUAGUUGGUGGGGUAGUGGCUUAAUAAGGCUACGACGGGGAGGCGACCUGGGAGGGCGAUCGGCCACACUGGAACUGAGACACGGUCCUGACGCCUACGGUAGGCACCAGUAGCCAAUCGUCCGCAGUGGUCGAGAGUUUGACGCAGCGACGCCGCGUGAGUUACGACGGCCUCCGGUUCGUAAUGCUCGCUUAUUAGUUAUGAACCGAUUUGUCCUUUGCCAUACCCUUCGUGACGGUACCUGGUCAGAAAGCACCGGCUAACUACGUG
rnacentral:rRNA from 1 species